GACGAACGCUGGCGGCGUGCUUAACACAUGCAAGUCGAACGGAAAGGCCCUGCUUGCAGGGUACUCGAGUGGCGAACGGGUGAGUAACACGUGGGUGAUCUGCCCUGCACUUCGGGAUAAGCUUGGGAAACUGGGUCUAAUACCGGAUAGGACCAAUCUUUGGUUGGGGGGUUGGAAGGUUUUUUGGGGGUAGGAUGAGCUCGCGGCCUAUCAGCUUGUUGGUGGGGUAAUGGCCUACCAAGGCGGCGAGGGGUAGCCGGCCUGAGAGGGUGUACGGCCACAUUGGGACUGAGAUACGGCCCAGACUCCUACGGGAGGCAGCAAUGGGGAAUAUUGCACAAUGGGCGCAAGCCUGAUGCAGCGACGCCGCGUGGGGGAUGAAGGCCUUCGGGUUGUAAACUCCUUUCGCUAGGGACGAAGCUUUUUUGUGACGGUACCUAGAUAAGAAGCACCGGCUAACUACGUG
rnacentral:rRNA from 1 species